rnacentral:rRNA from 1 species
GACGAACGCUGGCGGCGUGCUUAACACAUGCAAGUCGAGCGGUAAGGCCCUUUCGGGGGUACACGAGCGGCGAACGGGUGAGUAACACGUGGGUGACCUGCCCUCAGCUCUGGGAUAAGCCUGGGAAACCGGGUCUAAUACCGGAUAUGACUCCAUGACGCAUGUUGUGGGGUGGAAAGCCUUGUGCGGCUGAGGAUGGGCCCGCGGCCUAUCAGCUUGUUGGUGGGGUGAGGCCUACCAAGGCGACGACGGGUAGCCGGCCUGAGAGGGCGACCGGCACACUGGGACUGAGACACGGCCCAGACUCCUACGGGAGGCAGCAGUGGGGAAUCUUGCGCAAUGGGCGAAAGCCUGACGCAGCGACGCCGCGUGAGGGAUGACGG